GAUGAACGCUGGCGGCGUGCCUAAUACAUGCAAGUCGAGCGAACGGACGAGAAGCUUGCUUCUCUGAUGUUAGCGGCGGACGGGUGAGUAACACGUGGAUAACCUACCUAUAAGACUGGGAUAACUUCGGGAAACCGGAGCUAAUACCGGAUAAUAUUUUGAACCGCAUGGUUCAAAAGUGAAAGACGGUCUUGCUGUCACUUAUAGAUGGAUCCGCGCUGCAUUAGCUAGUUGGUAAGGUAACGGCUUACCAAGGCAACGAUGCAUAGCCGACCUGAGAGGGUGAUCGGCCAAACUGGAACUGAGACACGGUCCAGACUCCUACGGGAGGCAGCAGUAGGGAAUCUUCCGCAAUGGGCGAAAGCCUGACGGAGCAACGCCGCGUGAGUGAUGAAGGUCUUCUGAUCGUAAAACUCUGUUAUUAGGGAAGAACAUAUGUGUAAGUAACUGUGCACAUCUUGACGGUACCUAAUCAGAAAGCCACGGCUAACUACGUG
rnacentral:rRNA from 1 species